rfam:Triticum aestivum genome assembly, contig: Triticum_aestivum_CS42_TGACv1_scaffold_221901_3B
CAACUACUCCCUCUGUACCAAAUUUCUUGUCUUAGAUUUGUCUAGAUACGGAUGUAUCUAAUACUAAAAUGUGACUUGAUACAUCCGUAUCUAGACAAAUCUAAGACAAGAAUUUUGGGACGGAGGGAGUACUUU